rnacentral:rRNA from 1 species
CGGAGUGUACAAGGCAUGCAAGUCGAGCGGGUUCGGUUGCGAUUACAUCAAGACCAGAUCAGCGGCAAACGGGUGCGUAACACAUUGGCAACUCACCCCUAAGACGGGUACAACCCGCCGAAAGGCGGGCUAAUUCCCGAUGGCGAUGAGGGGACGCAAGUCAUUCUCAUCUAAAGGCCAAAAGCCACUUAGGGAGAGGCCUAUGUCCUAUCAGCUUGUUGGUGAGGUAAUGGCUCACCAAGGCUAUGACGGGUAGCAGGCGUGAGAGCGCGACCUGCCUCAGUGGGACUGAGACACUGCCCACACACCUACGGGUGGCUGCAGUCAAGAAUCUUCCCCAAUGGACGAAAGUCUGAGGGAGCGACGCCGCGUGCAGGAUGAAGCCCUUCGGGGUGUAAACUGCUUUUGUCGGGGACGAAGCCGCAAGGCUGACGGUACCCGGCGAAUAAGAGGUUGCUAACUCUGUGCCAGCAGCAGCGGUAAUACAGAGACCUCGAGCAUUAUCCGGAUUUACUGGGCGUAAAGGGUCCGCAGGUGGUUUUGAAAGUCAUUCGUCAAAUCCCGAAGCUCAACUUCGGAACUGCGGGUGAUACUUCAAAACUCGAGGACGGGAGAGGCAAACGGAACUACCGGUGUAGCGGUAAAAUGCGUUAAUAUCGGUAGGAACACCAAAGGCGAAGGCAGUUUGCUGGAACGUACCUGACACUCAUGGACGAAAGCGUGGGGAGCGAAUAGGAUUAGAUACCCUAGUAGUCCACGCCCUAAACGAUGGAUGCUAGGCAUUGGAAGUAUCGACCCUUCCAGUGCCGUCUUUAAGCUAACGCGUUAAGCAUCCCGCCUGGGGAGUACGGUCGCAAGACUAAAACUCAAAGGAAUAGACGGGGACCCGCACAAGCGGUGGAACAUGUGGUUCAAUUCGACAACAAGCGAGGAACCUCACCAGGACUUGACAUCUUCCUGCAAGCGCACAGAAAUGUGUGACCUUCGAGGGUGGAAGACAGGUGCUGCAUGGUUGUCGUCAGCUCGUGUCGUGAGAUGUACCCUUAAGUGGGGUAACGAGCGCAACCCCUACUCUGUGUUUGUAUGUCACAGAGGACCGCCCAGCCCAAAGCGCAUUUACUUCAGUAACUACGCAAAUGACAAAAUUCAAAUGACAAAUUCCAAAAUUGGAGUUUGGUUAUUGAUAAUUGGAGUUUGCGCACGAAGUGCGUUGUGGGCUGGGAGGAAGGUGGGGACGACGUCAAAUCAGCAUGGCCCUUACGUCCUGGGCUACACACGUGUUACAAUGGUCGGCACAAUGGGUCGCCAAGUCGCAAGACGGAGCCAAUCCCAUCAAAACCGAUCUCAGUUCGGAUUGAAGGCUGCAACUCGCCUUCAUGAAGCCGGAAUCGCUAGUAAACGCGUAUCAGCUACGGCGCGUUGAAUACGUUCUCGGGCCUUGUACACACCGCCCAAGGGC